rfam:Gossypium raimondii chromosome 9, whole genome shotgun sequence.
AAUCCGUGGUGCGUGCAUUUUUGGAUCAAUGUCUUGAAACAUUCCCAAGCCUCGUAAAGACUUUCCCCUUCCAAUUGUGUAAACAUGGCAAUCUCUCUUCUUAAUU